rnacentral:rRNA from 1 species
GAUGAACGCUGACAGAAUGCUUAACACAUGCAAGUCAACUGUGGCGGACGGGUUAGUAACGCGUAAAGAACUUGCCUCACGGAUAGGGACAACAUUAGGAAACGAAUGCUAAUACCUGAUACGGUGAGAGCGCUUUGCGUCCCAUUAGCUAGUUGGAGAGGUAACGGCUCACCAAGGGGAUGAUGGGUAGCCGGCCUGAGAGGGUGAUCGGCCACAAGUGGACUGAGACACGGACCUUACUGCGACGGGAGGCAGCAGUGGGGAAUAUUGUGCAAUGGACCAAAGUCUGAUCCAGCAAUUCUGUGUGCACGAUGAAGUUUUCGGAAUGUAAAGUGCUUUCAGUUGGGAAGCGGUACCAACAGAAGAAGUGACGGCUAAAUACGUGCCAGCAGCCGCGGUAAUUC